CCUACGGGAGGCAGCAGUAAGGAAUAUUGGUCAAUGGACGAAAGUCUGAACCAGCCAUGCCGCGUGAAGGAUGAAGGUCCUCUGGAUUGUAAACUUCUUUUAUCUGGGACGAAAAAAGGGAAUUCUUUCUCACUUGACGGUACCAGAAGAAUAAGCACCGGCUAACUCCGUGCCAGCAGCCGCGGUAAU
rnacentral:rRNA from 1 species